UGCCUCAGUACGGCGAGUGAAGCGGCAACAGCUCAAAUUUGAAAUCUGGCUCUCGGGCCCGAGUUGUAAUUUGUAGAGGAUGCUUUUGGUGAGGUGCCUUCCGAGUUCCCUGGAACGGGACGCCAUAGAGGGUGAGAGCCCCGUCUGGUUGGACGCCGAACCUCUGUAAAGCUCCUUCGACGAGUCGAGUAGUUUGGGAAUGCUGCUCUAAAUGGGAGGUAUAUGUCUUCUAAAGCUAAAUACCGGCCAGAGACCGAUAGCGCACAAGUAGAGUGAUCGAAAGAUGAAAAGAACUUUGAAAAGAGAGUUAAACAGUACGUGAAAUUGUUGAAAGGGAAGCGCUUGUGACCAGACUUGGGCUUGGUUGAUCAUCCGGGGUUCUCCCCGGUGCACUCUUCCGGCCCAGGCCAGCAUCAGUUCGCCCUGGGGGACAAAGGCUUCGGGAACGUGGCUCUCUCCGGGGAGUGUUAUAGCCCGUUGCGUAAUACCCUGUGGCGGACUGAGGUUCGCGCAUUCGCAAGGAUGCUGGCGUAAUGGUCAUCAGUGACCCGUCUUGAAACACGGACCAAGGAGUCGUCUUCGUAUGCGAGUGUUCGGGUGUCAAACCCCUACGCGAAAUGAAAGUGAACGCAGGUGAGAGCUUCGGCGCAUCAUCGACCGAUCCUGAUGUUUUCGGAUGGAUUUGAGUAAGAGCAUACGGGGCCGGACCCGAAAGAAGGUGAACUAUGCCUGUGUAGGGUGAAGCCAGAGGAAACUCUGGUGGAGGCUCGCAGCGGUUCUGACGUGCAAAUCGAUCGUCAAACAUGGGCAUG
rnacentral:rRNA from 1 species